CCUGCCCUGCCACGUGCUUCACUGCCCCCUCUACUGGGCAAGGUUUUUCCUUGGCGCAAAAGGAGCGAGAAAAACGCCUUGCCAGCUCUGCUAAGCAACGUUGCCCCUAUCGUCACCAAAAGUGCGAAUGGAUAGCGCGCCAUUUGAGGAUCAAGACCUCGCCAUGGCCUCGCGCGAGAGCGUGCAGCAUGCCAUCCACAUUCAGAGCGAGGCGUACCGGCAAGCGCUCAGCGAAUUGGCGGGAGAGUUGUAUGUAGAGGCAUACAAGCACUCACUGAAGCAGGCUCUCCGCAAGCACGCUGCUCAGUGGAAAAUUGGCAGCGACGCGGACGAACACGCAAAAGGCACCCUGAACCUACACACACACUGAGAGUGAAGAGGCGAAGCAGGGGGGAGGCUCCUCCCUCCCUCCCCGAAGUUGCCAUGCUCGCCCCCGUCGACUAGGCUUGUCCUCCAUUUGCCCUCUAAAGUGUCUCGCAUCGUCGGAGUCGAGAGCAGUGUGGGUGGGUUUGAGUCUGUGCAUUGGCUCUGGUGACUCGCAUUCUUCGUCCGACUGCUGCGCAUGUGCCUCUGCACGAGAUAGUCGGCUUAACUUCGCCUAAG
rnacentral:misc_RNA from 1 species